UAAAGCMCUUCAGUCGUGAGGAAGGUAGUGUAGUUAAUAGCUGCAUYAUUUGACGUUAGCGACAGAAGAAGCACCGGCUAACUCCGUGCCAGCAGCCGCGGUAAUACGGAGGGUGCGAGCGUUAAUCGGAAUUACUGGGCGUAAAGCGCAUGCAGGUGGUUUGUUAAGUCAGAUGUGAAAGCCCGGGGCUCAACCUCGGAAUAGCAUUUGAAACUGGCAGACUAGAGUACUGUAGAGGGGGGUAGAAUUUCAGGUGUAGCGGUGAAAUGCGUAGAGAUCUGAAGGAAUACCGGUGGCGAAGGCGGCCCCCUGGACAGAUACUGACACUCAGAUGCGAAAGCGUGGGGAGCAAACAGGAUUAGAUACCCUGGUAGUCCACGCCGUAAACGAUGUCUACUUGGAGGUUGUGGCCUUGAGCCGUGGCUUUCGGAGCUAACGCGUUAAGUAGACCGCCUGGGGAGUACGGUCGCAAGAUUAAAACUCAAAUGAAUUGACGGGGGCCCGCACAAGCGGUGGAGCAUGUGGUUUAAUUCGAUGCAACGCGAAGAACCUUACCUACUCUUGACAUCCAGAGAACUUUYCAGAGAUGRAUUGKUGCCUUCGGGAACUCUGAGACAGGU
rnacentral:rRNA from 1 species